rnacentral:rRNA from 1 species
GAGGCAGCAGUGGGGAAUAUUGCACAAUGGGCGCAAGCCUGAUGCAGCCAUGCCGCGUGUAUGAAGAAGGCCUUCGGGGUUGUAAAAGUACUUUCAGCAGUGAGGAAGGUAUCGUAGUUUAAUAGCUGCGGUAUUUUGACGUUUAGCUGCAGAAGAAGCACCGGCUAACUCCGUGCCAGCAGCCGCGGUAAUACGGAGGGUGCGAGCGUUAAUCGGAAUUACUGGGCGUAAAGCGCAUGCAGGUGGUUUGUUAAGUCAGAUGUGAAAGCCCGGGGCUCAACCUCGGAAUAGCAUUUGAAACUGGCAGACUAGAGUACUGUAGAGGGGGGUAGAAUUUCAGGUGUAGCGGUGAAAUGCGUAGAGAUCUGAAGGAAUACCGGUGGCGAAGGCGGCCCCCUGGACAGAUACUGACACUCAGAUGCGAAAGCGUGGGGAGCAAACAGGAUUAGAUACCCUGGUAGUCCACGCCGUAAACGAUGUCUACUUGGAGGUUGUGGCCUUGAGCCGUGGCUUUCGGAGCUAACGCGUUAAGUAGACCGCCUGGGGAGUACGGUCGCAAGAUUAAAACUCAAAUGAAUUGACGGGGGCCCGCACAAGCGGUGGAGCAUGUGGUUUAAUUCGAUGCAACGCGAAGAACCUUACCUACUCUUGACAUCCAUAGAACUUUUCCAGAGAUGGAUUGGUGCCUUCGGGAACUAUGAGAC